AAGAAAACACAGAUGAAAGAAAACACUGAACUGAAUUUAAACUCUGCAGUGACUCAGUCUGGUCCAGAAACCAGUCAGGACACGGCUCAACCUGAGGAUGGUGUUUGCUACGCCUCCAUCAGCUACAGCA